rnacentral:rRNA from 1 species
UACGUAGGGGGCAAGCGUUGUCCGGAAUCAUUGGGCGUAAAGCGCGCGUAGGCGGCCCGGUAAGUCCGCUGUAAAAGUCAAAGGCUCAACCUUUGAAUGUCAGUGGAUACUGCCGGGCUAGAGUCCGGAAGAGGCGAGUGGAAUUCCUGGUGUAGCGGUGGAAUGCGCAGAUAUCAGGAGGAACACCAACGGCGAAGGCAGCUCGCUAGGACGGUACUGACGCUAAGGCGCGAAAGCGUGGGGAGCGAACAGG